GACAGCUCGAGUUCUGGCUCACAUUAAAACUGCACUUGAGCAUGGCAAUAACGUGUUCGUCUCCUUAUUCACAGGUUAUUUCUGCGUUUUCUACAUUCAGCUCAUCUGUCACCACUGGUGCUGCAGACUCUGAUCUGGGAUGGAGAUCUGAAGGGGACAAUUACAGCUGUUGACUAGCAGGCAGCCAGGUGCAGAGAGGGGUAAUGAGAGUCUGAUCACGUAACGCCGAGCUCACUGCAAAACUGAAGAUCAUCACCAUUUUCAUCUUUAUAUCAGCAGUCUAUGAAAAAAGCAAUUACAGCAAUCAUGAAGUGUGGGCAUGUUGGGUUCUGUCCCAGGACAUCUCGUUACAGCACACAGACACUGUGCUGAUGUGAUCCAGCGAGAGGAGUGUGAGGAUGAGGAGGCAGACCUUCCUCUGUACGAACACUGAUUCAAUGCAAUAAGCUUUUGACAAAUUCCUUUUAAACAAACUUUACAAUAACACAAUUCCUUUAACCAUGUGUCUUUUGAGAAGAGUUUUUCCUUCUUUAACCGCUGAAUCUCCCAAGGUUGUUACUGUCAUCUUUGAUUAACCACUGAGGAGUUUAAAUGGGGUUAUUCUCUGUAAAGCAGCUUUAGAACAAAACCGUAUUAAUUAAUUGAGCUUUACAUAAACGGUGAACUGAAUUGAAGACAUACAGAUCAAACAAUAGCAUGAAUUGUUAAACUAGUCAAGACGUGUGGUUCAGGGAGAGUAUCCAAGGUUCUUUUGAGCAGCAGUCAGAUGAUAAAUGACAUCCCUGCAACUGUGUGAUGCUCUGCAAGGACUUUCAUAACACGUGGACAAAGUUACAUGGAGUUCAGGACAGAAUGCAUACAGUCUGAAUGGCUUUUCUUAAAUUUGGUUUAUUUUCUCAUUUUGUAUUUCAGAAACAUGCCAUUGUUUUUGUAAUUUGUAGUUUGCUUUAUUCCUAAAAUACAUUCAAGUUUAUUUGUAUAGCGCUUUUUACAAAAUAAAUCG